GAUGAACGCUGGCGGCGUGCUUAACACAUGCAAGUCGAACGGAAAGGCUCCUGCUUGCAGGGGUACUCGAGUGGCGAACGGGUGAGUAACACGUGGGUGAUCUGCCCUGCACUUCGGGAUAAGCCUGGGAAACUGGGUCUAAUACCGGAUAGGACGAUGGUUUGGAUGCCAUUGUGGAAAGUUUUUUCGGUGUGGGAUGAGCUCGCGGCCUAUCAGCUUGUUGGUGGGGUAAUGGCCUACCAAGGCGUCGACGGGUAGCCGGCCUGAGAGGGUGUACGGCCACAUUGGGACUGAGAUACGGACCAGACGCCUACGGGAGGCAGCAGUGGGGAAUAUUGCACAAUGGGCGCAAGCCUGAUGCAGCGACGCCGGGUGGGGGAUGACGGCCUUCGGGUUGUAAACUCCUUUCGCUAGGGACGAAGCGCAAGUGACGGUACCUGGAGAAGAAGCACCGGCUAACUACGUG
rnacentral:rRNA from 1 species